GGUUGACCUCGGAUCAGGUAGGAUAC
rnacentral:rRNA from 2 species